rnacentral:pre_miRNA from 1 species
UUUUUAAGAUAAGUGUGUUCCAUGCAAUAUUUAGAAUAUACUUAUACUAAAU